CCUACGGGAGGCAGCAGUGAGGAAUAUUGGUCAAUGGGCGGAAGCCUGAACCAGCCAAGUAGCGUGCAGGAUGACGGCCCUACGGGUUGUAAACUGCUUUUAUACGGGAAUAACGCCCCUUACGUGUAGGGCUUUGCAUGUACCGUAUGAAUAAGGACCGGCUAAUUCCGUACCAGCAGCCGCGGUAAUACGGAAGGUACGGGCUGUAUCCGGAUUUAUUGGGUUUAAAGGGAGCGUAGGCCGCAUGUCAAGCGUGCUGUGAAAUGUCCGGGCUCAACCCGGGCCUUGCAGCGGGAAUGGGCGGGCUUGAGUCCGCGGAAAGCAGGCGGAAUUCGUCGUGUAGCGGUGAAAUGCUUAGAUAUGGCGAAGAACCCCGAUUGCGAAGGCAGCUUGCUGCAGCGGAACUGACGCUGAUGCUCGAAAGCGCGGGUAUCGAACAGGAUUAGAUACCCCGGUAGUC
rnacentral:rRNA from 1 species